rnacentral:tRNA from 2 species
GUGGGUGCACUUCAAUGGCAGAACGUAAGCUUUCCAAGGUCAAUACGUGGGUUAGAUUUCCAACACCCGCCCCA